rnacentral:lncRNA from 1 species
GUGUAGUUUUAUCUGCUAAAUCAUUGCCCAAACUAAGGGCUCCAGGCAAUCCUGUAUGUGCCCUGAUAUGUCCUAUAAAGAACGGAUCUUUUCUGUCCCAGAUUAGACUUUGUAUAGUGGAAAGCAAAGAGAAAACAGUAGAGGAAGGGGAAAUCCUACCAGCAUCUUCAAGGGAUACUAUAGCAUUAACUAUAUACUGACUAUCAGAAAAUAAAUUAAAUACAGAAUCUUUAAACAUCACAAAAGCUUGUAAUACUGCAUUAAGCUCUACCUUUUGAGCUGAUUGUUUGGGUACUAAAAAUGUAAAAGUUUGAUCAGGGGUAACUACUGCUGCUGUACCAUUAUUUGACCCAUCAGUGAAUAUAUUUGGAGCAUUCAUG